GACGAACGCUGGCGGCGUGCUUAACACAUGCAAGUCGAACGAUGAAGCCCUUUCGGGGGUGGAUUAGUGGCGAACGGGUGAGUAACACGUGGGUAACCUGCCCUUGGCUUUGGGAUAAGCCCUGGAAACGGGGUCUAAUACCGGAUAUGACCAGUCCUCGCAUGGGGGUUGGUGGAAAGUUCCGGCGGCCAGGGAUGGGCCCGCGGCCUAUCAGCUUGUUGGUGGGGUGAUGGCCUACCAAGGCGACGACGGGUAGCCGGCCUGAGAGGGCGACCGG
rnacentral:rRNA from 1 species